rnacentral:rRNA from 1 species
UAUGGCUCAGGAUGAACGUUAGCGGCAGGCUAACACAUGCAAGUCGCGGGGCAGCGCGGGUAGCAAUACCUGGCGGCGACCGGCGGAAGGGUGCGUAACGCGUGAGCAACAUGCCCGUCUCAGGGGGAUAACCGAUGGAAACGUCGCCUAAUACCCCGUAACAACAGAUCCCGCAUGAGAUUUGUUUGAAAGCUCCGGCGGAGACGGAUUGGCUCGCGUGACAUUAGCUAGUUGGCGGGGUAACGGCCCACCAAGGCUACGAUGUCUAGGGGUUCUGAGAGGAAGGUCCCCCACACUGGAACUGAGACACGGUCCAGACUCCUACGGGAGGCAGCAGUGAGGAAUAUUGGUCAAUGGGCGGAAGCCUGAACCAGCCAUGCCGCGUGCAGGAAUGAGGCCCUAUGGGUCGUAAACUGCUUUUGCUGCGGAGCAAUAAGGUCUACGUGUAGGCCGAUGAGAGUACGCAGCGAAUAAGCAUCGGCUAACUCCGUGCCAGCCGCGGC